ensembl:snoRNA SNORD115 Small nucleolar RNA SNORD115
GGCCCUAGGGGAGGGAGGGUAUGCAGAGAGAUGAUGACUUCAAAAUAAUGCUCAAUAGGAUUAUACUGAGGUCC